GCUAUCAAUGUUCAGAGCUCGUCUUUGUCACAGUAAUAACCUUUAUUUCACAUUUUAAUAUUUUUUCAAUGGCAAUGGCCUAAAGAAUUAAUUUGCAGUUUCUUUGAUAACAUACAAAGUUGAAUAUCUCACUUUUAGCCACUGAGAUACAGAGAACAAGAAAUAGAGUACUGUUAGGAUAGAGAAUGAGUCAAAUCUCAUAUUUGAUUCAAAGCUGAAAUAUAAUUCACUAUCACGUAAUCUACUUACUUCUAAUUAUGGAAUAUUGUGAUGAAAUCAGUUCUGAUAUUAAUCAUAAGUUUAUAAAUCACUAUUUCUUGGAAAUAACAUGAAAAAUUUAAUUUCAAUUAGAUUUACUUAAUGAAUACACUUUAAGUUAUAAAAUAAAUAUAUGGCAAUCUAAUGGCAAAAUAUACAGCAAUCUGGCUUUUCCUAUGAAGGAAAAAUCAUAAACUCUAAAUACAUCUAUAUCGAAUACAUUAUAAUUCAAGAUCUUUAUUUAAAGACAUCUUUGUGCAUGAUGAUAUGUGCAAUGUCAAAUUAUUGCCACAAGUUUUAGAUAAUUAAAUAUUCAUUAAGCAAAUAUUACUGCUUGGCAAUAUUUGAUAAAGAUAUGGAAACAUAAUUGUAAAUUCUGCUCCCUGAUGACAUAACAAUAGUCACAGAAUGUUAAAGCAUAUUCUAACCGAAAGAUUGACAUUGAUGACGUGUAGCAAACAAACACAUAACACAGGAGACAUUCCUAUGGAGCUACAAAAUGCCUUUCCUCUGGUUACAUUGGAGGGUUUUGUCUUAGAUACAGAUGACACAAGAGAUUGAUGAUGAUAAUGGUGAAACACCAGGACCCAUUCUGGAUAAUAUCUAUGCAGCUGCCAAACAGAAGCACAACGUGGCCAAUUCAUUCUUUUCAGCUGUCUUCAUGAUGGAUCCACAGGCUCUGUCGUUUCGAGGCUGGAAUUUUUUUACCUACUAAAGUUGGACAAUUUGGGUAACUCACAUACAAGCUGCCUGUUUACUGACCUAGUUAAAUGACAGGCUUACCUUUGUAGAAACAAAUGAUAAUCCCUCUUCCACACACUGAGACACACACCUUAACAAAUCUGUCAAUCACUAGAACUGAAGGAUUAUACAUUGUCAUUUAUACUUAACUAGAAAAAAGCACAUAACACAAAAGAAUCUCUUUUUUCUGACAUUGGACAUUUGUCAAGUCAAGUACUGUCAAGAAUUAAGCAGAUAAAUCACCGGAUUUAAAAGUACAAAAACAAAAGUUAAAAAUAUAAGAGCCAAAAAGAAGAUGUCGCUGGUAGACGUUUAAAUGUCUGUAAAUAGUCUAGGUAGUAGUUUUGUAUGUGUCCUGAGCAAAUGUUUUGUUCCAUAUUUUUAAAGGGGAAGUGUACCACCAACAAUUAAAUUCUACAACUUCAUCAUCUUUUAAAGCUAAGAGCAGAGUUCUCAUCCUGAUGUUGAAUGUUUGGAAAGGCCAGGCCUCAUCAGUUCUAAUGAGCGCUCUGCGGCCUACACCCUGAACACUGAGCACGGACCAUUAUUGCACUUAAAGUGUUCCCUCGCAUUUCUUCAGUACGAUCUGCUUCUUUCCAUUUAUCCAUGAAUGAAAAAUUGCAUUCUCUACUUUUCUCCAAUCAUUUCAUUGUCAAAAAAUAGUUGAUUUUUUUUUCCUUUUUCUCUAUUUGUCUCCUACACACUAGCUGUUUUCCAUGAAUUUAAAACAUUAAACAUUAUCAUUACAUAAUUCUAGGAAAUAUUCUUUAUGUUAUGAUGAAAAACAAGUACCAUGGACAAUGCUGUAGACAUCUAAGGUUUACAUGUGCACUAUUCACUAUUAUAUGAAUAAAUAUUAUAGUGAUAAAAGGUACUAAUGUUUA
rnacentral:lncRNA from 1 species